rnacentral:lncRNA from 1 species
ACCAAAAAGGGCAGGCCCCUUUGUUUCGACCACAUACAAAUUUCGCUUCUGUUCACAGGAAGUAUUGUCUUGGCUUCCCCCCUCAACUCAAGUGAAUCUUUCAUGGCCGUUUCCAUGGCAACCGCAAGUUUUAGCGCUUUCUCGAACGUAAGGCUGGUUUCGACAAGUAAGCGUUUCUGAAUAGAAUGUAGUUUUAUGAUUGUAAGUGGAUCAUUACAGUAUUUUACACACAAUACCACUCCCCUCCUCUCCUCUAAGGUGACACUGACCCCUCGUCCUGUUUUUCAAGGUGACUUUUCCAAUUUAUUUAAUUCCGAGUAGAAAUGUCUGGGAAAAUUUAUGUCUUCGAUGUACUUUAUAAUCAUUGGAAUUCUGCAAG